rnacentral:rRNA from 1 species
GACGAGGAGGACAAGCGUUCUUCAGUAUCACUAGGCGUAAAGUCCAGUAAGGUGGUCGUUAAGUUGAUAAGAGAAAGCUGAAGAAAUCCUUCAGAGAUCUUAAAAACCACAACUAGAGUAAAAAUAAAGAAAAAGGAAUUUCCAAAGGAGUGGUAAAAUACGUUGAGAUUGGAAGGAAGACCGAAAGCGAAGGCAUUUUUCUCAUCUUUACUGACACUGAUCUGGGAAAGUCUGGGGAGCAAAUGGG